GUCACCAUGGCCUGGAUCCCUCUCCUGCUCCCCCUCCUCACUCUCUGCACAGGUUCUGUGUUUUGCUAUGAGCUGACACAGCUGUCCUCGGUGUCAGUGUCCCUAGGACAGACAGCAAGGAUCACCUGUUCCGGUGAUAAACUUGACAAAAAAUAUAUCUACUGGUACCAGCAGAAAGCAGGCCAGGCCCCUGUGCUGGUGAUAUAUGAAGAUAGUAAGCGGCCAUCAGGGAUCCCUGAGCGGUUCUCAGGCUCCAACUCAGGGAACACGGCCACCCUGACCAUCAGCGGGGCCCAGGCUGGGGACGAGGCUGACUAUUACUGUCAGGUGUGGGACAGCAACACUGCUCACAGUGACACAGGCAGAUGGGGAAGAAGCCCCGCCUUCUGCACAGGACCUCAGUGUGAGCCCAGGGAGAGUCGCUGGAGCAGGAGAGACGAGGCCAUGGUGUGGGCCAGCUGCUGGUGGAUUUCCCACCCCGAAUCUCAGCUGCCCAUCACCCACCUGGCCUGUGUGCACCUCGAAUAUGUGGGUCAAGUGGGCCAGAGGGCCGGAGAUGCUGAUGGUGACAGUGAUGAGGAGGAUGUGAGUGCACAGCUGAGCUCUAGUGGCAGGAACUUCCGGGCUCCCAGUGACCUGCAGCUGCUCUAA